rnacentral:snRNA from 1 species
GUGCUCACUUUGGCAGCACAUAUACUAAAGUUGGAAUGAUACAGAGAAGAUUAGCAUGGCCCCUAUGCAAGGAUGACAUGCAAAUUCAUGAAGCAUUCCAUACUUUU